GUCGAGGCCGCCCCGUUCGGCAGUCAGCAGGCGGGUGGCGCGGCUAAUGGUGGCAGCGGCGGGGGAGCACCC